CUAGCACAGCUGAAUGAGCAAUGGGCUGUGAGGUCAGUUCCUUGAUCAUUAAUAUGCAAAUUGUCAUGACUGUUGAUUAAUGGCCAUGAGUACCAUUCACAGAGAGCUGGGGAAUGACUGCAAUCACAGCACUGUUAGAUGGCAAAAGAUGUACCCUUAGGCCCCCUCCUCGAUUCAGAGAUAGUCUGUCCCUUUUCACGUAAAUGGCCUCCUCGACUCCGCCCUCAAAGCAGCGUUCCUCCCUGUCUAGAAUGUGUACAUCCUCAUCAUUGAAAGGGUGUCCACUGGCCUGUAGGUGUAUUGAUCAUUGAUCAGUGGUCUUUGAUCAGUGAUAAUAGCAAUUUCAUAUUAAAUAUCAAAGAACUGACAUCACAGCCCAUUGUUCAUUCAGUGGGUUGGCUUCAGUUAUUAUGAAAAUGUACUGUUUAUAAGGUUAAGGUCAGGUGAGACUGAAGUAGUCAUUGGAUGAGUUACGAAACGUUUCUCCCAUUGAAAACGCUACGUCCAGAUGAACAGAAUCAACCUUUUGGUAUUUCUUACCUGUAUAAUUGAGCAUGCAUCAAGACAAAUGUUAUUACAUGUUAUUACAAUCAGGGUGUUACCUGUGUAAGUAAAGCUACAGUAUGACAGUUUGAUGAGGGACAUUGGUGAAUACUUGGUGCUUAGACAAAGUUUAGAUGGACAAAAUCUAAGUAAUCAUGGUAAAAGUGUUGGUGUAGCAUGACCAGGAAAUAAACUGACCUGAACUUUACAAGAUAUUUGACUUUGGCAACCUCUGGCAACCUUGUAUACAACAUUUAGCCCAGGACAUGAAUUACCUUUCCUUUUUCUUUUUCCUUUUUUGUAAUUAAGAUUCAUGACUCUCUUAUGUCAUAUGGGUUUUACUUUGAUCACUAUAAAUUUCAUAUGGUCUAUACUGUACUGGGUGCACAGGCCAAGCUAAUAAAACAGCUGCUAUGCAUGACAUUUUGUAACAGAGAUAAGCAAUUAAAGUGAACUUUUUAGGCUUCACAUUUAUUUAUUCACAUUUUUACUUAUUUGC
ensembl:lncRNA